rnacentral:rRNA from 1 species
CCAAUAGCGUAUAUUAAAGUUGUUGCAGUUAAAAAGCUCGUAGUUGAAUUUCGGGAUCAGUACGCUGGUCGUGCCUUCGGUAUGUACUGGUGUUACUGGUUCCUACCUUCUGACGAACCGUCAUGUCAUUAAUUUGGUGUGGCGGGGAAUCAGGACUGUUACUUUGAAAAAAUUAGAGUGUUUAAAGCAGGCUCGCGCUUGAAUACAUUAGCAUGGAAUAAUGAAAUAGGACGUUCGAUUCUAUUUUGUUGGUUUCUAGGAUUGACGUAAUGAUUAAUAGGGAUAGUUGGGGGCAUUAGUAUUCAAUUGUCAGAGGUGAAAUUCUUGGAUUUAUUGAAGACUAACUACUGCGAAAGCAUUUGCCAAGGAUGUUUUCAUUAAUCAAGAACGAAAGUUAGGGGAUCGAAGACGAUCAGAUACCGUCGUAGUCUUAACCAUAAACUAUGCCGACUAGGGAUCGGAUGAUGUUAAUUUUUUAAUGACUCAUUCGGCGCCUUAC